rnacentral:rRNA from 1 species
AUUGAACGCUGGCGGCAUGCUUUACACAUGCAAGUCGAACGGCAGCGCGGGCUUCGGCCUGGCGGCGAGUGGCGAACGGGUGAGUAAUGCAUCGGAACGUGCCCAGUAGUGGGGGAUAGCCCGGCGAAAGCCGGAUUAAUACCGCAUACGACCUGAGGGUGAAAGCGGGGGACCGAAAGGCCUCGCGCUAUUGGAGCGGCCGAUGUCGGAUUAGCUAGUUGGUGGGGUAAAGGCUUACCAAGGCGACGAUCCGUAGCUGGUCUGAGAGGACGACCAGCCACACUGGGACUGAGACACGGCCCAGACUCCUACGGGAGGCAGCAGUGGGGAAUUUUGGACAAUGCGGGCAACCCUGAUCCAGCCAUGCCGCGUGCGGGAAGAAGGCCUUCGGGUUGUAAACCGCUUUUGUUCGGGAAGAAAUCCUCUGGGCUAAUACCCCGGGGGGAGGACGGUACCGGAAGAAUAAGCACCGGCUAACUACGU